rnacentral:rRNA from 1 species
UGCUCCAGAAUAGCUCUUGGAAACGGGUGGUAAUGCUGGAUGCUCCAACUUGACGCAUGUCUUGUUGGGAAAGUGUUUAGUGGCAUGGGAUGGGGUCGCGUCCUAUCAGCUUGUAGGCGGGGUAAUGGCCCACCUAGGCUUCGACGGGUAGCCGGCCUGAGAGGGCGGACGGCCACAUUGGGACUGAGAUACGGCCCAGACUCCUACGGGAGGCAGCAGAC